CCUACGGGUGGCAGCAGUAGGGAAUAUUGCUCAAUGGGGGAAACCCUGAAGCAGCAACGCCGCGUGGAGGAUGAAGGUUUUCGGAUUGUAAACUCCUUUUGUUAGAGAAGAUAAUGACGGUAUCUAACGAAUAAGCUCCGGCUAACUCCGUGCCAGCAGCCGCGGUAAUACGGAGGGAGCAAGCGUUACUCGGAAUCACUGGGCGUAAAGAGCGCGUAGGCGGGAUAGCAAGUCAGAUGUGAAAUCCUAGGGCUUAACCAUAGAACUGCAUUUGAAACUGUUAUUCUAGAGUAUAGGAGAGGUAGGUGGAAUUCGUGGUGUAGCGGUGAAAUCCGUAGAGAUCAAGAGGAAUACUGAUUGCGAAGGCGGCCUACUGGAACAUAACUGACGCUGAGGCGCGAAAGCGUGGGGAGCAAACAGGAUUAGAUACCCGUGUAGUC
rnacentral:rRNA from 1 species